rnacentral:rRNA from 1 species
AUUGAACGCUGGCGGCAGGCUUAACACAUGCAAGUCGAGCGGAGAUGAGGUGCUUGCACCUUAUCUUAGCGGCGGACGGGUGAGUAAUGCUUAGGAAUCUGCCUAUUAGUGGGGGACAACAUUCCGAAAGGGAUGCUAAUACCGCAUACGUCCUACGGGAGAAAGCAGGGGAUCUUCGGACCUUGCGCUAAUAGAUGAGCCUAAGUCGGAUUAGCUAGUUGGUGGGGUAAAGGCCUACCAAGGCGACGAUCUGUAGCGGGUCUGAGAGGAUGAUCCGGCACACUGGGACUGAGAUACGGCCCCGACUCCUGCGGGAGGGAGCAGGGGGGAAAAUUGGACAAUGGGGGGAAACCUGAUCCAGCCAUGCCCCAUGUGUGAAGAAGGCCUUAUGGUUGUAAAGCACUUUAAGCGAUGAGGAGGCUACUUUAGUUAAUACCUUGGGAUAGUGGACGUUACUCGCAGAAUAAGCACCGGCUAACUCUGUGCCAGCCGCCGCAGUAACAC